GGCCCCUUCAAGGAAACCUGUAAACAACUUGUCACUCACUGCCGCUCCGCGCAGCGCCGCGAGCCGCCCUGGCAGCGCACCCGGAGUUGCCUCCGCUCCAAACUCCAUCAGACGACCCCGCCGUGCGCCGGGGGAAAGCUGGACAACAUUAAAGGCCUUUAAAGCCCACGAGGCUCUGACCCCACAGCGGUGGGAUGAGGUCCACUUCCAGCCCCCCCUCCGCCCUCACCUCCUGGCGGCGUGCAGAACGCAACUUGGCUGCACCAGUGCAUGGGCACAUCCACACGGAGCAGCCACGAAGCGCUCGAUAUUGUCAUGCCCACCGGCCAAAAGAAAUCCCCUAAAAGAAAACUGUGUUAUUUUUAUUAAUACUGAACAGCUACCCUAUUUAAUCCCCCCCCCUCUACCCCCAUGCACAUGUUGUAAGCCAGCAGGCUCAGUCUGGGGCCGCUCAGUCCAGUGCCGCAUGAAGUCUUCACCCGUGGAUGAACGCUUCUGUCACCCCAAGAAGCACGGCCCCACUGGGGACAGGCGCGGGGCCCAGCACGCGGCUCACACAGGAGGAUCCCCCAAGGCUGCCCCCGGCCGCUCCCAGCCCGUCCCCCCCCAGCCCAUCCCCGGGGCUCUGCCAGCUGCUGGCAGGAGGGAGACCUAAUGGCUCCUCGCCGUGGGGCAGCUCUGCCGAUUUCCUCCAGUAGCCCCUGGCUAAUAAUAUUUUCCACAGAGGUUCAUUCAUGGGAGCCUGACAAACCUCGUUACUAUGUACAAGGAUUUUUAUUUGUUAUUUAGUAGCUAGCCCUUUUAGGACAGCUGUGAGGUAGACACUGAAAAGGCAGCGGAUGAUUAAAAAGAACAAUUCCACAUACUUUCUCUUUCAUCUGAGUGUCUCAAACCACGUUAAGUCUCACAUUACUCCUCUGCAGGUAAUAAAUAUAAUUAGGGCUGAUUCCAAAACUUUAUUUGUAUUGAAAAGUAUCUCGCUCCACAGGGGCUCCAUUCAAAUCAGCAAAUCUCUGUGUGGAGUAGGAGGCUACUUAGUAGGAGAAUUUGGCCUCAAAUAAGGAAACUGAGAUGCAGACAGGCUUUGCAGCUUGCCCAGGCUGACACCGUUAGCCAACUGCAGCAACGGGAUGGGAAACAAAGAUCCACGCGCCUCAGCCCGCUGCAGCCCUCACGCUGCUGAAACACACUGUAUGUUUUUGCUGUUUUCCUCAGAAAGGCGUGAUUUUUUACACGUGGUUAAAGCACACUUCAUCCCUCUGCUCAUACUUGUGAGGGCCCCCAGCCUUUUCCCUUUGACUGCCCCUCAGGAAACGCUGCUCCUCCUCUGCCAUUCCACGCUCUGCUCCAGCCUGCUUGCCCUUGGCCCUGGGAGCUGCCUACAGACAGGAGCCGGUCAGGAGCUCCAGCUGUAGGGAGAUGAAGACGACCUUUCAUUCAAAGAGUCUGCAGUGGCUCCGGGACUACCGUAUUCCGAUUGUAUAUUAGCCCCAUCCAGCUCUCUAACCUUGUGUUCUUUUCCCAACUCAGCUCCACACAACAACUGCCCUCCUCUGUUCAUGUAUAUUUCCCUCUUAAUAUUUUGCCUCCUUUUUAAGCAUCUUCAGCACAAUGAGCACAUCCCCUCCAAGUCCAAGUCUGUGUCAUGCCCAGCAUGCUGAGGCUCCUCAGUCAGCUCUCUGCUACCAUGAGUAUGGGCCAGAGCAAUCACCAUCCAUAUCAGGAACUAUGCAACAGGACAUCAGCCAGACCUGAAGCAUAAUAAAAGGGAAAAAAAAAAACAAAACACAAGAGAACCCACCAACAAAGAAAUGUCGGGGGAGAAAACAAAGAUAAAUGAGCAACAGGGAGUGCUGGGAAGGAGAGAGGAAAUGGAAGGAAGAAAGAAAGGAAGCAGAGAUCAUUCCUCUGAAUGUUUCUGACAUAAACCUUUCUUUUCCCUUACCCUAGCCCUAGCUUACAGCACUUACUCUUACCCCACUGUAUUUGCUGCUAAAUGCCUAUCUCCUUCCCCCUAGUUUCCUUCAUCUCAUGUUUUCUGAGCUCCCAGCUUGGUGAGAGGAAGCAUGGUUGGGUCCAAAAAGGAGAAAAAAAUGUUACAGUUAUCGCUGUAUUAAUAUCAUAUUACUGCAUUAGUUUAUGGAUAUUAUUGUGUUAUUAUAGAUUUAUCUGUAAAAUUAUGUUCUCACAGUAAGUUCAACUACAAUUGCAAGAAGCAGCAAGCUAAACAAAUGGUUUGAGGUAAUCUUUGAAACCUUCCUUUGGUCAUCUUGAAGCCUUGCUUUGUAGAAAUUGCCAGGAUGUAGAACAAAUGCUGACUUCUUAUCAGAAACUGGAGAAAAUGAGGAAUUUGGAAUCAAUGAUGAAUCAGCCCCAGCUGAAACUAAGACAAUACAUAACCACAAACCUUGUUCAGCUCUUCUCAAGCUGAGAAUUCAGGAUGUAUGUCCAAGUACCUCCACACGAUGAGAAAAAUGAAGCCUCCCCCUGCCAGCCCUUCCCCUUGCAUUUCUCUUGCUCUGCUUCCUUUAAAGGAUGCCCAAACCAAAAAGGAUAAGGCAAAACAGGGCAAUUGGGGUUGAACUGAACCAAAAGGCUCUGACUCUCAUUUAGGUGAGGGAAACAACUCAUAUUAUAAACUCUUAUCUGAAUUUUUGUGCUUUAGCAACAAAAAAUCACUUUUGUGGUUCUCCAGCUCAAGAGGUGAACCAAAAAAUCAAUUAUCCACUCAGCUCAAGUUAGAAAUACCAUAACUCUGGAAUAUUACGUAGAUGGAAUCCACAGGUCUUUAUAUAUAAGCAAAUGGGCAGAAAAAAAAACCUUAAACUAAGGAGAUAAUUAAAAAAAAUAAUAAAAAUAAUCAAAUGAUAACACUUCAGCCUGGUGCCUUUGGCAGCUGCUGCAAUAUUGUAAGUACAGGAAGUGCUGGAAAAAAAAGUGAGCUUUUCAUGUUUUGUUGUUUCCACUGUAGGUUUUAAUAAUAGAGACCUACAAAGUCCAAGGAAAUGUAAGAUAUUCCACAGAAUGAUUUACUGGAAAAUUCUCAUAGAAAAUAUGCAAAACUCUGAAGAUCCUACAUGGAUUUUCUUUUUUAGGCAUAUAUCCAAAACAACUACAGCAUUAGGAACGAAACCCUAACAUUUCUAAGAAAGGGUUUUUGGAACAGGUUAAGAGAGAGAAAGGAGAACAGAGUGGGGUUCAUGCAUUUACUAUGAAGAAUAUCUUGCAAAUAAUGAGUGCUUAUUUCAGAGUAUGGAAAUGUUUAGCUACAAUGCAGUUUGGAUCAUAUGCUUUGGAACAGAUUUUUCCUUUCAGUGUGCAUGCCUAACUGCCAUUUCCAUUAACGGGAAUUAAGUACAUGUGUCAAGAGAAGAAGUUAACUCUUAGAAAUAUAACUAAUCUAUGCUUUUUUUAAAAGAAUGUAAAUGCCACAUCAGGCAUGUUUGGUGUUGGCAAAACGGAGCGCUGAAUAUAGGAUCGCAAAAUCUGAGAAGGAGAAGGCGGUCUGGAGGACUGAAAUUUCUGUGCUAUUUAGAGUUUUUCAAUUUACCGAAUUUCUUCAAGGAAAAGUAGAACCAUCUCACUUGCAAGCAAGAAGCCCUCAUUUAUCAGCUAUUUACCUGCAAUUUCAGUGGGGGUCUACCAUCUGCAACACUCCCCAUAAAGGAGGAUUGACACUGCCCUUAAGGACAAAUCUGAAUCUUCGUCAAAAAUUGCAAUUCAAACUUCUUUAAGGGCCACUGAAAUGAUCACAGAGUUUGUCAUCCCUUUAUUAAACUCAGCUCUGCUCUCUUUGACUCCACCCACUUCACAUCGGCCAAGGUAAAGCACGACUGUUUUGCAUGCAACGUGCCCUACCGGUCAAAGCCUGCAGCCACGCCUCCCCUGCCUGUCCUGCUCAGAGCCAUCAUGUCCAAGGGACUGCCCUGCCACUGCCAGCACCCAGCCCAUCUUCAGGCCCUGGGACAACAAUGCCAACAGGAACAUCCUUCCUCAGUGUCAUUUGGGAUGACUGUUACCAACAUGUAAAUGCCUGCCACAAUACACCAGAUGAUGAACUUCGCUCGUUUCAUACAGACAGCCAACUCCCAUCAGAAGGAAAUGACUCCCUUUUCCCCUGGUGUGUGCGCGGAGGAGUGGUUAGGAGAGAUCGAGUCUCUUUUGAACGAGCAACCUCAGUUUUAUAGCCAAACAUAAGCCUCUGAGCCCACAUACCCUAAUGACACAACUUUGAUCUAUUUAUAAAACCAGAUAGCAACUGCUGAACCUGACUCAAAGUGCACUGAAAUUGAGAUCUUUCUGCUCAACCCAGUGGGUCUUUCCGAGUCUUCCUCAAUAUAAUUCCUGCAGAGUUUAUCACCACAGAAUCAUCAUUUCCCCAGUAACAAUACCACACAAACUCAUCCACUCGCAAAGGCUAUGGGCAUUAUAUUUUGUCUUUGGGUUCCUAACCUGACUGCAUUUUCCACUAUAAUCUGCUCUUCCUAACCUAUGCACCAAGGAGGCUGGGUUUAAAACAGAGUUGCUCCCAUUGAUCGUCUGAUAUCAAACAAGCAUCAUACAAUUAACAGCUCAAGGGUGAUUUGUAAUAAUCCAGCACAGCUAGUUUUGUGUACUUUCUAAAGGCGUUCCUUUGUUUUGCGGUCCUGAGGUUUGCUCUGGUGUUUGCAAUCAAAAUUCUCCAAGCCCACAAGUACCUCUGCUAUCUACUUCUCUACACUGCCUUCCAGUGCCAUUAAGAUAAUUUCUUACAUUUUUCCCAUAGGCCUAUCAGCCACCUUCAGCUAACCAUCCUGAGCUAAUGUGUGUGGGCAUGCACAUACAGCUCAGUUCGUGGAUGCCCUCCAUUUUAGACACUCAUUUGGAUUAGAAGAAGAGAAUGUAAAAUACUUCCAAAUAAUUUUACCAUUUUCUAUUCACCUUGUAUUAGAAGGCCCAUGAAGAACUAGGUCUUCUGCAAGAAAUACCUUCUGUCAAAACCAGUUUACAGUUUAGACUAACUGUAAUUAAACAAAGAACACAGAAAAGAUAAAAUUCGUAUAUGCUGUAAAUUGUUUAUCUGCUUUAUUCCUUUUUAGUCUGUAUAACCACAAGUAACCACUAUACAGCAAAUGUUUCAAAAAACAUGGAUGCUGAAAUGUGCGGUUUUUAAAUUCAGAACAGAUUUGUAAAUACAUCCCCUUUCUAAUGUACCACACACGUUCGCUGCAUAACAUAUACAGUCUGUGAUAAGAUUAAUACAAAUUAGUGUUUAUUAAAUGCACUCUACUGAUAUUUAACUUGUUAUACAUGUCACUGGGAAGAUCAAGCUGUAAAUUAAGCUAUGAUUCUAAUGACAUUAAAUGCAUCUCUGGAAGGAGUCAUAAAAUGUUGCUAUCUUACACCUUGCACGCUGAAACAGCAGUCACUGAGGAUGUAGAAUUAUGUUACAUUUCUGAAGCAACAAAAGUGUACUAUAUGCAUUCAUUUAUUUUAAUGCAGCUCUGAUGCCGUUUUAUGAGUGAUUUUCCACUUUGGGGUAAAAGCAGAACGAAUGCCAUUUGGUUCUGUUGAAACAAAAAGCUAAGCUCCUGCUUCCAACACACAAACCCCAAUUCAGCCACUAUUACAGAGAAAUAAAUAUGCAACUAUGGUAUAAAACAGAUUGACAGCUUGUUGUUACUGCUAGUUCUACGGAGACUAACUCUUGCUCUUCUUGUUGCACGGGACAGCAAGAGGCUAGCAGCAUUGCUGGGUACCAUGGUAAGUGCCCGUGGGAAUGCUUUUACAGCUUGUUGCAGAAACAGAGCAAGUACUGCUAUGGUAUUUUGAAGUAUAAGCAUGGGAACAUUGGAAUACCUAGGGACAUUUUUUAAAAGACCUAAUGCCACCCAGGUACAGAGCGGACAACCUUCUAUUUCCACCUAGCUUAUAAGCAAGACAGAUUCUCAGCAGGUGGCAUUGAAGUCUAGUGAGAAUAUAAAACAAUCA